AAGAACUUAAGUUAAUUAAACUAUUAACCUUCAAAGUUAAAAAUAAAUAUAAAUUUAGGUCUUA
rnacentral:tRNA from 1 species